CAACGUAGGAAAGCAAGUGUACCAGAAACAUGGCUCAAUUCAUCCCAGAAGGACAAAGCUUGGAACAGAUAUUAGGUUUUUCACAAAUUGGAGGUUUAUAGCAAUCCUGUGUCCAUCAAAUCUCUUGGGGCCAUUUUCCAGUAAGCACGAGCUCACUUUGUGUGUCUAUAUCAUAGUUUGCAGGAAAAUACACUGGCAAAUACUAUAAUGAAAAAGUUUGAUUUGGAGAAAACCUGACUUGUAGAACUAAUCCACAUCAAGAAUCAUGGACCAGGCAAAGAGACGAUAAACGUUUACAGUAAGCCUUCUUACAUGAAGAGAAAAUGCACAUCCUACAAACAUUGCUUUAAUUUUUUAUGUUAAUUGGAGAAGGCAUGUCUAUCACAGAUGCAGACCCUUGGUUUCCUUCACUGCCCAUAAAAAGCUCUUCAAUCGCUC